rnacentral:misc_RNA from 2 species
CUGAGUACUACACUCUCUACCCUUUGUGAACUAUUAUACCUGUUGCUUCGGCGGCGCCCGCAAGGGUGCCCGCCGGUCUCAUCAGAAUCUCUGUUUUCGAACCCGACGAUACUUCUGAGUGUUCUUAGCGAACUGUC